ensembl:lncRNA
AUUGGUUCCUUACUAAUCAAACCGCGGCAAAGAAAUAAACGUCCAACAUGAUUGUUUUUUUUUUUGAAGAGAGAAGUUCAAUUCAGUUCAGUUCAGUUCAGUUCAAUUCAAUUCAGUUCGCUUUAAAUUGUAUAGCGCUUUUUUAUACAAGUGAGAUUGUCACAAAACAGAUUUACAGAAAUAUAUAAACUUCCAAUCUAAAUUUUAAAUUCAAUUUUAAAUUCAUCCCUAAUGAGCAGGCCAGAGGUGACGGUGGCAAGAAAAAAACCUCCCUGAGAUAUGAGGAAGAAACCUAGAGAGGAACCAGACUCAAAUGGGACCCAUCCUCAUCUGUGUAACAACAUCUUGCAAGCCCUGAUGAGCAACAUACACCUACAGCAAAUAGUGAGGACAUCUGAAAAGAUUUUCACCAUCAACACCUCCUUCAACAACCACUGCAUCCGCAAAGCCACCAGUAUUGCGGACAACAACUCUCACCCGUUUCAUGGACUAUUCACCCACCUGCCAUCUGGCAGAAGGUACAGGAGCAUCUGUGCCACCACCAGCAGACUCCUCAACAGUUUCUUCACUGAGGCAGUCAGAUUACUCAAACCCCGGCUGACUCCCAACACUCAACUGGGAUAGUCGAACACCAAACCCAGUUAGUCUCAGUACCACUGCACAUGCAUUAACCCAGUAAGACUCAGUCCUGCACACUGCCCUUUACACAGCUGCAUCAGUCACUUUAUACUAAGGAACUCAUUUUUGCUGUUAUUGCUGCUAUACUUCUGCUGCUACAUUACACAAUAGCUUACAGUUUACAGUCCAUAUUUACAGUUUACAGUGAGUUUACAGUCCAUGUUUACAGUUUACAGUCCUUGUUCUGUGUAUCUAUUGUCUUAUGUAUUUACUGUCCUGUGUAUUUAUUGUUUUGUUCUGUGUAUUUAUUGUUUUGCCUCGUCUCACACUGUUGUGUAUUUGCACUUUAUGUAGUCUUUCAUACUGUUUCGUGUUGCACCUUGGACCUGAAGAAACGUCAUUUUGUUCCAAUGUAUACAAGCUAUAUAGAGGAAUGACAGUAAAACCCAUUUGACUUGACAUAAAAGCAGUGCAGUGAAGGUUUUGCUUUUCAGUACGGAAUGUUGCAGUACAUUCAUUGUGUUCACAAAUGGGAAGCUAAAAGUUGUGUUGAAUUUCAUGCUUUUACCAGUGUGAUUGCUUUUUGCUCUUGGUCAGAAUCCUCUCCAUAGCCCACCAUAUAAAUGGCUAAUUGUGAGUGAAUAUUACAGUCCACUCUGAAAGUAUGGGAAUGGCAAGGCCAAUUCUUUUGUUUUUGCUAUACACUGAAGACAUUUUGGUUUGAUAUCAGAAGAUGAAUAUGAG